rnacentral:rRNA from 1 species
GACGAACGCUGGCGGCGUGCCUAACACAUGCAAGUCGAGCGAUGAAGCCCUUCGGGGUGGAUUAGCGGCGGACGGGUGAGUAACACGUGGGUAACCUGCCUCAAAGAGGGGGAUAGCCUCCCGAAAGGGAGAUUAAUACCGCAUAAAAUCAUGUUUUCGCAUGAAGAUAUGAUUAAAGGAGCAAUCCGCUUUGAUAUGGACCCGCGGCGCAUUAGCUCGUUGGGGAGGGAACGGCUCACCAAGGCCAGGAUGCGUAGCCGACCGGAGAGGGUGACCGGCCACAUUGGAACUGAGUCACGGUCAGGACUCGUACGGGAGGCAGCACUGGGGAAGAUUGCACUAUGGGCGAAAGCCUGAUGCAGCAAGGCCGCGUGAGUGAUGACGGCCUUCGGAUUGUAAAACUCUGUCUUUGGGGACGAUAAUGACGGUACCCAAGGAGGAAGCCACGGCUAACUACGUGCCAGCAGCCGCCGUAA